CCCUUAGACGUUCUGGGCCGCACGCGCGCUACACUGACGAAGGCAACGAGCUUUCCUUUACCGAAAGGUACGGGUAAUCUUUUGAAACUUCGUCGUGCUGGAGAUAGAUCCUUGCAAUUUUUGAUCUUAAACGAGGAAUGCCUAGUAAGCGCAAGUCAUCAACUUGCGUUGAUUACGUCCCUGCCCUUUGUACACACCGCCCGUCGCUACUACCGAUUGAAUGGUUUAGUGAGGCCUUCGGAUCCGCGACUCGUUUGUGGAGAAGUUGGACAAACUCAGUCAUUUAGAGGAAGUAAAAGUCGUAACA
rnacentral:rRNA from 1 species